rnacentral:rRNA from 1 species
GACGAACGCUGGCGGCGUGCCUAAUACAUGCAAGUAGAACGCUGAAGGAGGAGCUUGCUUCUCUGGAUGAGUUGCGAACGGGUGAGUAACGCGUAGGUAACCUGCCUGGUAGCGGGGGAUAACUAUUGGAAACGAUAGCUAAUACCGCAUAAGAGUAGAUGUUGCAUGACAUUUGCUUAAAAGGUGCAAUUGCAUCACUACCAGAUGGACCUGCGUUGUAUUAGCUAGUUGGUGAGGUAACGGCUCACCAAGGCGACGAUACAUAGCCGACCUGGGAGGGUGAUCGGCCACACUGGGACUGAGACACGGCCCAGACUCCUACGGGAGGCAGCAGUAGGGAAUCUUCGGCAAUGGACGGAAGUCUGACCGAGCAACGCCGCGUGAGUGAAGAAGGUUGUCGGAUCGUAAAGCUCUGUUGUAAGAGAAGAACGAGUGUGAGAGUGGAAAGUUCACACUGUGACGGUAUCUUACCAGAAAGGGACGGCUAACUACGUG